rnacentral:rRNA from 1 species
GCUUGUCUCAAAGAUUAAGCCAUGCAUGUCUCAGUAUAAGCUUUUACACGGCGAAACUGCGAAUGGCUCAUUAAAACAGUUAUCGUUUCUUUGGUGGUUAUUGAUUACAUGGAUAACCGUGGUAAUUCUAGAGCUAAUACAUGCGCCCAGACCCAACUUUUAGGAAGGGUUGUAUUUAUUAGAUACAAAACCGACCCGAGGUUCGCCUCGGAACCGUUGGUGAUUCAUAAUAACUAAGCGAAUCGCAUAGGCUUGCCUGGCGAUGGAUCUUUCAAGUUUCUGACCUAUCAGCUAUCGACGGUAGGGUAUUGGCCUACCGUGGCUAUGACGGGUAACGGAGAAUCAGGGUUCGAUUCCGGAGAGGGAGCCUGAGAAACGGCUACCACAUCUAAGGAAGGCAGCAGG